rnacentral:miRNA from 1 species
UCAGAUGUCUUCAUCUGGUUG